UACGUAGGGUGCGAGCAUUGUCCGGAAUUAUUGGGCGUAAAGAGCUCGUAGGCGGCCUGUCACGUCGGAUGUGAAAGCCCGGGGCUUAACCCCGGGUCUGCAUUCGAUACGGGCAGGCUAGAGUUCGGUAGGGGAGAUCGGAAUUCCUGGUGUAGCGGUGAAAUGCGCAGAUAUCAGGAGGAACACCGGUGGCGAAGGCGGAUCUCUGGGCCGAUACUGACGCUGAGGAGCGAAAGCGUGGGGAGCGAACAGG
rnacentral:rRNA from 1 species